UACGUAGGUGGCAAGCGUUGUCCGGAUUUAUUGGGUUUAAAGGGUGCGUAGGCGGUCUAUUAAGUCAGCGGUGAAAUACUCCAGCUUAACUGGAGGGGUGCCAUUGAUACUGAUGGACUUGAGUCAAGUCGAGGUAGGCGGAAUUGACGGUGUAGCGGUGAAAUGCUUAGAUAUCGUCAAGAACGCCAAUAGUGAAGACAGCUUACUGGGCUUAAACUGACGCUGAGGCACGAAAGUGUGGGGAUCAAACAGG
rnacentral:rRNA from 1 species